GUGGUCUCAGCAGCUGCCCAGACAGAGUGGAGCCGGCUUGGGGGGAAGAGCGACCCAGCCUGGGAAGCUGUGUUAUUGUAACAACUACGAAGCCCAGGUGCGGAGCUGUUUUGCUGCUACGCACACCAGGGGCAGGCAGAGAGGAGUGCGCUGACAGUGCCUCGGGCUGCAGCUCAUGCUGGCACAUGCAGCGAGAGAACGGGGAUCUUCCCGUGACCUUUCUGCUUCCUUCCUAAAUGCCCUGCCCCUCCCCUGCUCUGCAUCCCCAUCUCUUAUCUGUUCCAGGCCAGGGCCUCGCACUGCUCCAAGGGCGAAGGCAAGUCCCCCCGGCCAAUCCUUCCGCUCCUAAUUCCAAGGCCAAGCCACCUCGAACUCGUCAGGCCAGCCGCCUGGAGGGGAGGAGGCUGGAUAGCACGCAGGCCUCGCUCGGAGGAGCUGGCGUGGGUAUCUGCUGAGCGGGGACCAGAACGCUGGCUUUGUUCCGUCACUGUGUGCUAACGCGGCCGGGAAAGGGACAGGAAAACGAGGACAAGGGAGACAUUCACCUCCACGUUACUGAUCCAAGCUCUCAAGCACAGCACCAGCUGCUCACGUGGGAAUUCGAGUGGGCUGGAGAGCGGACAAUUGACUGGAGAAUGCAGUUGUUUCGGCACUUCCUAGCACUGGCUGGGACCAGCAAUGUGGGAACACUGGAAGAAGUUCACGUCUGCAGCCUGGGGACAAGACAGGAGUGAUGAUAAACCCAUUCAGAGGGCUCCCAAUGGAUCUGGGGAAGCGGGGUUCCAGGGACUGCAGCGAGGCAUGUUGGGAUCCAGAGGAGCCAGUAUUCAGCAGCACUCCUGGAGCCAGGGAGUGCUCUGGCAUUUAAUGCAACACACCGAGGGGUGAGACGUGACAAAAUCCAGAACCACAUACGCCCUGUCUGACGUUUGGGCCCCACUCGGCUGCUGGAGGCAGAAAUCAGGCCUCGUUUUGGCAGGGCAGAAAUGCAGGAGGAUCCAAACACUGACUGACUUGGUGCCAGGAUUCACACACCCGGCUCCUGAGUACAGUAGGUUACAUACCCUGGGCACAAGUGCCAGUCUUUCAACACCGAGCAUUGCACAGUAGGAGCCACACCCCAGCAAUGCACAAGGGCCAGGCUUCACCCUCCCACUUGGGAGACCUCUACUCGCUCCCACCAUCCUGGUGCUGCCAGUGAGUCUGCAGCCUGGCAUCUGGGUGCAGUAGGGUUCCUGCCAGGGCAUUAGUGCCAGGGUUCAUCCUCCCAGCUGCCUCCACAGUGUGACAGUCAGCCCUUCUCUCCCAUCUCCCGGGCUGUUUAUGACUGCUCCUAUGCUCGCUGAGUGUCAUUUUUCCAUGGGACACUGGAGGCUGGUGAAAUCACAUCUGGAGUCUAGACUCAGUGACUC